rnacentral:rRNA from 1 species
AUUGAACGCUGGCGGCAUGCCUAACACAUGCAAGUCGAGCGGAGCGGCGGACGGGUGAGUACUGCCUAGGAAUCUGCCUGGGAGUGGGGGAUAACGUCCGGAAACGGGCGCUAAUACCGCAUACUAUCAGAUGAGCCUAGGUCGGAUUAGCUAGUUGGUGGGGUAAAGGCCUACCAAGGCGACGAUCCGCAAGUGGUCUGAGAGGAUGAUAAGUCACACUGGAGCUGAGAAACGGUCCAGACGCCUUAGGGAGGCAGCAGGGGGGAAUAUUGGGCAAUGGGCAAAAGCCUGAUCCAGGCAUGCCGCGUGUGGGAAGAAGGUCUUCGGAUUGGAAAGCACUUUAAGUUGGGAGGCGUGACCAACAGAAUAAGCACCGGCUAACUUAGUGCCAGCAGCCGCGGUAAUUC